AGGGUUGUAAAGCCCUUUCAGUAGGGAGGAGGAUUGCUAGGUUAAGAGCUAAGUAAUUGGACGUUACCUACAGAAGAAGCACUGGCUAACUCCGUGC
rnacentral:rRNA from 1 species